CAAACAAGACCAUGGUGGUAGUUAUGUCCAGAUUCCAUUGCCUGAAAAGCAGCGAGGAGCAAAAGUGUGCCAGACAGCAAAACAGGAUGGGGGAUAAUGCAACCCUGAUAAUUUUCCUGGGACUUGCCAUCUAUCUGAUGAGUUUGUUCCCAGCUGCUUACUGCUCAGUACCAGUGAAAAUCCAGAGCAUGACUCGCGUUGCCGACAAUGAAGAGGAAGAGGAAAGCAGUCUGAGAGGCUGGGAGGAAAUGGAGGAGUCAUUUGUGGCCUCCUCAACAGGGGAAGGAAUGGAGUUGAUCGAUAUGGUGGAGCCUGAGGGCUCAGAGACACUGAGCAAUUCAGCAGCGAAGGAUUGGCUCUUAGAUCUGACUCUUCUCAAGAUUGCUUUGUUUUUAUUGAUUCUUGGCAUAGAGCUAGAAAUAAUUUCUGCGAUCACGAAUAAUAACAUUUCGAGUAUCUUCCUGUGCUACAUGAUCACCUUCUGGACAAUGCGGAUAAUGGAUCUUGUCUUCCCCAACCCAGAGAACUGAAAAAGAAUGCUGAAGACAACGGCAAGGAUCCUGUGCACAUAUUGAAAGUGUUUUUCUUUCUUCUUGAGAAACAAUAAAUUCUCAAUAAUUUUUUCUAAGCCAGAAUUCCCUUCUUGCACUUCCCAUAUGUUCUUCGUGUUAAAACAUCAUAGCUCACAACAACAAUUAAUUCAACUAAUCCAAUUUCACCAGUGGUCCUGCCUUUUAAACAGAAUAUUAUUAAAUUCAGUAUAUAUUGAAAGAACAAGAAAAAGAAAAGCGUAUUCCAGGGAACUGUGUCUACCCAUACACUUAACAAGAUAGAUACAAGAAAAGUUAUGCAUCCUCAAAAUGCAUAUUGUCAGUACUUUCUGCUUUUUCUAAAUAAAAUAAACACAAAAGCUGAACACUGAACACUCAGAACACUGAAAUAAUGUCUAUAUUAUGCACUAAGUGUUAGCAAUGUUAUUUGCUAUUAGCAUCUUUUAAAAAAGCUGUCUGGACACGCUGCUAGAGAAAAU
rnacentral:lncRNA from 12 species